CUCAUGUGAAGGGAUGGCCCCGUGGGAUUCGGGGGCCCCGGGCCCAAAUCCUGCGUCUCCUCAGACCGCCACCACUGCAGGAAGGAGCGCACUGCUUGAAUGUGUUGUUGAGCUCCGCUGGUGGUGGCAUGGCCACUGAGAGAAACUCACCCGAGAACUCAUGAGGUUCCUGCAGCAGCUUGCCGCUUCAGCAACCUCAGCCAGUCAGUAAGCCUUUCAGCUGCUUCAGGAUUGGACUUCAGCUGCUGGCUCAUGUGUGGUGUCAGCUUCUUCAGGAUUGGACUACAGCCGCUGGUUCAUGAGUGGUGUCUGCCUGCCGAGAGGACUCAACUGAAGCUGCUGAAAUCCUGCUUGGUGUUUGCUAUGUGACUGAACUGCUGCCAAAGAUGGAGCUUGUCCCCAAAGAACUACUGCUGAACAGGUCCACUUCCCCACAUCCUAACAACUUUACUUUUCCACUUCCUCUGGAAGGUCCAAAUAAGUUGCUGCCUCAGACUUUGACAACUGAGAAGAGGAUCAGAAGAAUUUAUUACUCAUGAGCCCAGGGGAGAAAACUGCGUAGGUCUGA